rnacentral:rRNA from 1 species
AACAAUAAGCGGAGGAAAAGAAACCAACAGGGAUUGCCCUAGUAACGGCGAGUGAAGCGGCAACAGCUCAAAUUUGAAAUCUGGCCUCACGGUCCGAAUUGUAAUUUGUAGAGGAUGUUUCUGGCGACGUGUCUUCCGAGUUCCCUGGAACGGGACGCCAUAGAGGGUGAGAGCCCCGUCCGGUCGUACACCUAGCCUCUGUGAAACUCCUUCGACGAGUCGAGUAGUUUGGGAAUGCUGCUCUAAAUGGGAGGUAUACGUCUUCUAAAGCUAAAUACCGGCCAGAGACCGAUAGCGCACAAGUAGAGUGAUCGAAAGAUGAAAAGCACUUUGAAAAGAGGGUUAAAUAGUACGUGAAAUUGCUGAAAGGGAAGCGCUUAUGACCAGCUUGGGCUCGGUGAAUCAUCCGGCGUUCUCGCCGGUGCACUUUGCCGUCCCAGGCCAGCAUCAGUUCGCGCCGGGGGAUAAGGUUUCGGGAAUGUAGCUCCCUCGGGAGUGUUAUAGCCCGUUGCGUAAUACCCUGGCGUGGACUGAGGUCCGCGCUCUGCAAGGAUGCUGGCGUAAUGGUCAUCAGUGACCCGUCUUGAAACACGGACCAAGGAGUCGUCUUCGUAUGCGAGUGUUCGGGUGUCAAACCCCUACGCGUAAUGAAAGUGAACGUAGGAGAGAGCUUCGGCGCAUCUCCGACCGAUCCUGAUGUUCUCGGAUGGAUUUGAGUAAGAGCAUACGGGGCCGGACCCGAAAGAAGGUGAACUAUGCCUGUAUAGGGUGAAGCCAGAGGAAACUCUGGUGGAGGCUCGCAGCGGUUCUGACGUGCAAAUCGAUCGUCAAAUAUGGGCAUGGGGGCGAAAGACUAAUCGAACUGCUUGCUAGUAGCUGGUUUC